rnacentral:rRNA from 1 species
GCGUUAUCCGGAAUGAUUGGGCGCAAAGCGUCUGUAGGUGGCUUUUCAAGUCCGCCGUCAAAUCGCAGGGCUCAACCCUGGACAGGCGGUGGAAACUACCAAGCUGGAGUACGGUAGGGGCAGAGGGAAUUUCCGGUGGAGCGGUGAAAUGCAUUGAGAUCGGAAAGAACACCAACGGCGCAAGCACUCUGCUGGGACGACACUGACACUGAGAGACGAAAGCUAG